rnacentral:rRNA from 1 species
GACGAACGCUGGCGGCGUGCCUAAUACAUGCAAGUUGAGCGCUGAAGGUUGGUACUUGUACCGACUGGAUGAGCAGCGAACGGGUGAGUAACGCGUGGGGAAUCUGCCUUUGAGCAGGGGACAACAUUUGGAAACGAAUGCUAAUACCGCAUAAAAACUUUAAACACAAGUUUUAAGUUUGAAAGAUGCAAUUGCAUCACUCAAAGAUGAUCCCGCGUUGUAUUAGCUAGUUGGUGAGGUAAAGGCUCACCAAGGCGAUGAUACAUAGCCGACCUGAGAGGGUGGUCGGCCACAUUGGGACUGAGACACGGCCCAAACUCCUACGGGAGGCAGCAGUAGGGAAUCUUCGGCAAUGGACGCAAGUCUGACCGAGCAACGCCGCGGGAGUGAAGAAGGUUUUCGGAUCGUAAAACUCUGUUGGUAGAGAAGAACGUUGGUGAGAGUGGAAAGCUCAUCAAGUGACGGUAACUACCCAGAAAGGGACGGCUAACUACGUG